GAAAGAAAAGGGAGUAAGAGCUCCUAUUUUAGUCAUUCAAGGAGAAAAAUUGCGAUCUACGAAGAUCCAACAGUCGAAUCUUCAAUUCUUUUUCAGAAACGUGAUCAUUGCACUUGGAUCUACGUUCUUACCAAUUGUUUUAAGGUAUAUGAGCUUAUUGGAGCUUACUUGAGGCUACCCAAACUUUGGGUUGAAGUUUGGUGAAUUUGGAUGUGGCAAACCCCCACAACCGUAUAGAUGAUGUCCCUUUAACUGCAGGUACACCUGACUUAGAGGAGGACCUCGUAGCUGCGUAUUUGGGAUGUUACGAUUGAAGCACACCGCGACAGUCGUAUUGAGUUGGACUAUGGAGUUCACUCUUUUGGGGUAUUUUGUAUAUGGCUAGUGACAUAGGUGUCACAUAUUCUUUUGUGUAGUCAUUCUUUUGUAUUAGUGGAUAAUUGUAAGCUUUAAACAAUUAGACAAAUAUAUGGCUCUUUUGUAUGGACCACAUCUAUUUUUAGAUGCGCUUUUCGUUAUGAGUUUUAGUGUUAUGAUUAUUCUGCUGUCAGAUAUUAUUCUGAAUAUCAGGUACAUGAUAUGGAGCAUGUACAUAUGUUGGCUGAGCAACACAUAG